rnacentral:rRNA from 1 species
UACAGAGGGGGCAAGCGUUGUUCGGAAUUACUGGGCGUAAAGGGCGCGUAGGCGGCCUGCUAAGUCGAACGUGAAAUCCCUGGGCUCAACCCAGGAACUGCGUCCGAUACUGGUUGGCUUGAAUCCGGGAGAGGGAUGUGGAAUUCCAGGUGUAGCGGUGAAAUGCGUAGAUAUCUGGAGGAACACCGAUGGCGAAGGCAGGUCUCUGGGCUGACACUGACGCUCAUGCACGAAAGCGUGGGGAGCAAACAGG